GCUCUCUCGCUGGAGGUUGUGCGCGUGCGUAGCACGCAAGGUCGGUUGGGAGUGGUAGUCGGUUCCCGCACUUUAAACGCCUUACCGACUAUAAAGGGCGAGAAAGGAAAGAUCUCUUCCCUCAGACUUCUCUUUUCCCAGGUGGGCCAGUUCUUGGCCUCGCGGGCUUACGUCAUGGGAGGAAUGCGGUGACGCGACGCUGCUCUUGUGACGUCGACGACGAAGGCCGGGCUCCCGGUUCGAUGAUGUCAUCGGGUCCUUUUUCCUCCCCCUGCUGCCCUGCGAUGGAAAUGGCAAGGAUGGAGGAACAAGUUAAAUGACAUCAGGAAACAGCUGUCAAACCCCAAGGGUGGAGUAUGCUGGAGGACAACUGUCUCUUCGAUGAAUCAGUCAUGGCAAAAGGGAAUGGGGAGUAUUCUAGGGCAGGUGACAUCAUUGACAUUUGGGGCCAAACUGCAUUGUAGGGUGCUGAGCAGCAUCCCUGGCUGCCACUCACUACAUGCCAGGAGCACACAGCCCCCACCCCUCACCAGAUGUGACAACCAAAGAUGUUUCCAGACACAGCCAAAUGUCCUUGGAGAUAUUGCCCUAGAGGAUGGCAGAGCAACUGGCAGGAGGACCUGGGAUCCCCAGGCCAAAAGAGACAAACAUUCUCUCUUGUUUAAGCCAAUUAUUGGGUCCUCAUUAAAUUGAGAGAACUAUGACUUUGGUAAUCCUGUUCCAAGUUUUUAUAUUCACUGAAAGUUUCACACCAGAUAAGAAUGCUCAUUGAAGCAGAAAGGCGAUGUGGGUGUCCAUCCCUAGGGGACCAGAAAGAUGAAAUAAGGAAGGCUGCAGAAUACAAAACACUAAGCCAACAGUGAAAGCAACAAAGUAGCUCUUAAAAAAAAAUCUGAUGGGGAGAUCCUGUCGUGGCGCAGUGGUUAACGAAUACGACUGGGAACCAUGAGGUUGCGGGUUCGGUCCCUGCCCUUGCUCAGUGGGUUAACGAUCCGGUGUUGCCGUGAGCUGUGGUGUAGGUUGCAGACGCGGCUUGGAUCUGGCUUUGCUGUGGCUCUGGCGUAGGCCAGUGGCUACAGCUCCGAUUCAACCCCUAGCCUGGGAACCUCCACAUGCUGCGGAAGCGGCCCAAGAAAUAGCAAAAAGACAAAAAAAAAAAAAAAUCUGAUGGGCCUGAUAAUGUGAGAAAAUAGAAUGGGUACAUGUAUGUAUAACUGGGUCACCAUGCUGUACGGUAGAAAAAAAAAUUGUGGGAGACCUAGACAGCUGCAUGCAAAGCAAUGAAACUAGAACACACCCUCACACCCUGCACAAAAAUAAACUCCAAAUGGCUGAAAGACUUAAAUAUACGACAGGACACCAUCAAACUCCUAGAAGAAAACAUAGGCAAAACACUCUCUGACAUCAACAUCAUGAAUAUUUUCUCAGGUCAGUCUCCCAAAGCAAUAGAAAUUAGAGCAAAAAUAAACCCAUGGGACCUCAUCAAACUGAAAAGCUUUUGCACAGCAAAGGAAACCAAAAAGAAAACAAAAA
rnacentral:lncRNA from 1 species